GGGUUGUGAGGUUAAGCGACUAAGCGUACACGGUGGAUGCCCUGGCAGUCAGAGGCGAUGAAGGACGUGCUAAUCUGCGAUAAGCGUCGGUAAGGUGAUAUGAACCGUUAUAACCGGCGAUUUCCGAAUGGGGAAACCCAGUGUGUUUCGACACACUAUCAUUAACUGAAUCCAUAGGUUAAUGAGGCGAACCGGGGGAACUGAAACAUCUAAGUACCCCGAGGAAAAGAAAUCAACCGAGAUUCCCCCAGUAGCGGCGAGCGAACGGGGAGGAGCCCAGAGCCUGAAUCAGUGUGUGUGUUAGUGGAAGCGUCUGGAAAGGCGCGCGAUACAGGGUGACAGCCCCGUACACAAAAAUGCACAUGCUGUGAGCUCGAUGAGUAGGGCGGGACACGUGGUAUCCUGUCUGAAUAUGGGGGGACCAUCCUCCAAGGCUAAAUACUCCUGACUGACCGAUAGUGAACCAGUACCGUGAGGGAAAGGCGAAAAGAACCCCGGCGAGGGGAGUGAAAAAGAACCUGAAACCGUGUACGUACAAGCAGUGGGAGCACGCUUAGGCGUGUGACUGCGUACCUUUUGUAUAAUGGGUCAGCGACUUAUAUUCUGUAGCAAGGUUAACCAAAUAGGGGAGCCGAAGGGAAACCGAGUCUUAACUGGGCGUUAAGUUGCAGGGUAUAGACCCGAAACCCGGUGAUCUAGCCAUGGGCAGGUUGAAGGUUGGGUAACACUAACUGGAGGACCGAACCGACUAAUGUUGAAAAAUUAGCGGAUGACUUGUGGCUGGGGGUGAAAGGCCAAUCAAACCGGGAGAUAGCUGGUUCUCCCCGAAAGCUAUUUAGGUAGCGCCUCGUGAAUUCAUCUCCGGGGGUAGAGCACUGUUUCGGCAAGGGGGUCAUCCCGACUUACCAACCCGAUGCAAACUACGAAUACCGGAGAAUGUUAUCACGGGAGACACACGGCGGGUGCUAACGUCCGUCGUGAAGAGGGAAACAACCCAGACCGCCAGCUAAGGUCCCAAAGUCAUGGUUAAGUGGGAAACGAUGUGGGAAGGCCCAGACAGCCAGGAUGUUGGCUUAGAAGCAGCCAUCAUUUAAAGAAAGCGUAAUAGCUCACUGGUCGAGUCGGCCUGCGCGGAAGAUGUAACGGGGCUAAACCAUGCACCGAAGCUGCGGCAGCGACGCUGAUGCGUUGUUGGGUAGGGGAGCGUUCUGUAAGCCUG
rnacentral:rRNA from 1 species